UACGUAGGGGGCAAGCGUUGUCCGGAUUCACUGGGUUUAAAGGGUGCGUAGGUGGGCAGUUAAGUCAGUGGUGAAAUCUCCGGGCUCAACCCGGAAACUGCCAUUGAUACUAUCUGUCUUGAAUAUCGUGGAGGUAAGCGGAAUAUGUCAUGUAGCGGUGAAAUGCUUAGAUAUGACACAGAACACCGAUUGCGAAGGCAGCUCACUAAACUGUAACUGACGCUGAGGCACGAAAGCGUGGGGAGCAAACAGG
rnacentral:rRNA from 1 species